rnacentral:rRNA from 1 species
UACGGGGGAUGCAAGCGUUAUCCGGAAUUAUUGGGCGUAAAGCGUCCGCAGGUGGUUUGUCAAGUCUGCUGUUAAAGCGUGGAGCUUAACUCCAUAUCGGCGGUGGAAACUGAUUAACUAGAGGGUGGUAGGGGUCACGGGAAUUCCCAGUGUAGCGGUGAAAUGCGUAGAUGUUGGGAAGAACACCAGCGGCGAAAGCGCGUGACUGGGUCAUUACUGACACUCAUGGACGAAAGCUAGGGGAGCGAAAGGG